rnacentral:rRNA from 1 species
UACGGAAGGUGCAAGCGUUGUUCGGAAUGACUGGGCGUAAAGCGCACGUAGGCGGGUCUGUAAGUCAGAUGUGAAAUCCCUAGGCUUAACCUGGGAACUGCAUCUGAAACUGCAAAUCUUGAAUACCUCAGAGGUUGGUGGAAUUCCUGGUGUAGGAGUGAAAUCCGUAGAGAUCAGGAGGAACAUCGGAGGCGAAGGCGGCCGACUGGGAGAGUAUUGACGCUGAGGUGCGAAAGCGUGGGGAGCAAACAGG